rnacentral:rRNA from 1 species
GAUCAUGGCUCAGGAUGAACGCUAGCUACAGGCUUAACACAUGCAAGUCGAGGGGAAACGACAUCGAAAGCUUGCUUUUGAUGGGCGUCGACCGGCGCACGGGUGAGUAACGCGUAUCCAACCUGCCCAUCACUUGGGAAUAACCUUGCGAAAGUAAGACUAAUGCCCAAUGAUACGUUCCCACGAAGGCAUCCGAAUGGGAUUAAAGAUUUAUCGGUGAUGGAUGGGGAUGCGU